GAUGAACGCUGGCGGCGUGCCUAAUACAUGCAAGUCGAGCGAACAGAUGAGGAGCUUGCUCCUCUGACGUUAGCGGCGGACGGGUGAGUAACACGUGGAUAACCUACCUAUAAGACUGGGAUAACUUCGGGAAACCGGAGCUAAUACCGGAUAAUAUAUUGAACCGGAUGGUUCAAUAGUGAAAGACGGUUUUGCUGUCACUUAUAGAUGGAUCCGCGCCGCAUUAGCUAGUUGGUAAGGUAACGGCUUACCAAGGCAACGAUGCGUAGCCGACCUGAGAGGGUGAUCGGCCACACUGGAACUGAGACACGGUCCAGACUCCUACGGGAGGCAGCAGUAGGGAAUCUUCCGCAAUGGGCGAAAGCCUGACGGAGCAACGCCGCGUGAGUGAUGAAGGUCUUCGGAUCGUAAAGCUCUGUUAUUAGGGAAGAACAAAUGUGUAAGUAACUAUGCACGUCUUGACGGUACCUAAUCAGAAAGCCACGGCUAACUACGUG
rnacentral:rRNA from 1 species